GGAAGAUCUGCUGAGAACUGCUACUACUUUGCAGCCUCCAGGCAGAACACAGAAUAACUCCCUGUCUUUCCUGCCAUGGGCCAUUUGUUUUAUCCACAUGAAAUAAAAGAGACCCUUCAGCUGGGUGGAGGUGGCUGAGAAGGAAGGAAAACAACACAGACACAAUCUCUGGAGCUGCUGGCCUCACUCUCCACUAGCUUCUCUGUUUCAGCCAGACUGUAAAGUGUAUGCAGAUAGACUACAUCAUUGCACCAGAGAAAUGGAUCCAAUCUGUGCAAAGAAUGGCCACACUUACAGCAAUACAUGUCAUUUCUGCAGUGCAAAGUUAGAAAGUGAACAAGUUAUUGAAUUUCAUCGUUAUGGUAGCUGCUGACUUUUUAACCUUAUUUUUACAAAUUCUUAUGGCUUUUAUGUAAUCCUAUUUUAUGGUGGAUUCUACAACCAGCUAGUGUCUUCUCAGUCAGGGCCUUAAAUUCCUAGAUGACCAGGUAAAUCCUUCUAUAGCAUAUGAGAUGGAAUAUAAGAUGUUGAAGAUUCUUUCUGAUGCUAAGAACCUGUUAUUAAAAUAUUUUUUAUUCUCUGCAUUCAAUCACUCAAUGACAGUUUGAAAAACCAUUAUCUUGAUUGUGUAUUUGAUAAUACAAAACCUGAUGUAAUUUACAAUUAUAAAUAUUUCACUCGGUGAAAUGUUAAAUGAUGUUAUCUUUAUUAAAAUGUCUUUUCUUUCUUUGA